AGACCGGGAGUUGAGAGCAAGAGGGCCUUGUCCACGGUCAAAAGGAAGAGGACACGUGUUGAUGAGGCUGUGGAGGAAUUGGAACCCUUGUCCACGGCUGGGGAGGGGAAAAGCUGCCGCCACUGCGCAGAAGAGUCGGGCAGCUCCUCAGGAGCCGAUGUUCUAAAGGCAAGAACUCAGCUUAUGAACUUAGUUGAUCUCCGUUGAAUGAACCCGCUGAAUGAACCCUUGCUGGUCAGUUCAAACAGCCGCAUGAGGUAGAAAAGUAUUUAAUUUAUCCAGUGAUUUGAAACUGUUCAUCCCGGGAUCCACAAGCUGGGCCUCUGAUGAAAACAAGUAAUAAUAUUCUUUCCAUUUACAACAAAAACACAAUCGAUGGGAUUUUCUUUAAAGACGUUAACGAAUUUCGAAAAGGUUAUUUGUACACAUGGUAAAACAGUAAAACGGCAUAAGCAGAUGAUGCUUUUAUAAUGGGAAGAAUGAUGUUUUCUUAGGGGUUUUAGUAGACGCUUUUAUCAGAUUAAGGAAAUUCUUUUCUAUUAGGUCUUAUGUCAUAAAUGAUAUAUUGAAUAUAAUCAAAUGCUUUUUCUGAAACCGUUGGGAUGAUAUAGCUUUUCUCUUUUAAUCAAUUAAACAGACAAUUGAUAUUUAUGUUUGUUCUCUGUUGACUACCCUUGAGUUCCAGGGUGAACUCCGACUUGCUCAUGAUUAUCUUGUUGCUGCAUUUGGGUUGCUUCUGUUUUGUUCAGGACUUUUGUGUUGAAGUCCAUGAGUGAGACUGGCCUGCACUCUUCCUUUCUGGUCCUGUCCUUUGUCUGAUUUGGAUCAAGUUGAUACUGUCUUCAUAGAAUGAGCUGGGUAUGCCCCCUUCUUUUCCAGUUAUCGGGAUUGUUUUUUAUGUGAUGCUUCAGAAUCUCGGCUUCAGCUCCAUGGUCACAUCCUCUGAGAAGGUUGCCAAGGGUGCUGCCUCCUGGCAGUUAUGCCCCUGUGUAACCCCCCUCAUUGGUGAGGCUGGACAGGUGCCUUGCUUCUACUGAAUAAAUGUAGUGAAAGAGAUGGGAUGCCACUUCUGAGAUGAGGUGAUAAAAGCCUGUGGCUUCCACCUUGGGCGCCCUCUCUCGCCCACUCACUC
rnacentral:lncRNA from 1 species